GAUGAACGCUGGCGGCGUGCCUAAUACAUGCAAGUCGAGCGAACAGACGAGGAGCUUGCUCCUCUGACUUUAGCGGCGGACGGGUGAGUAACACGUGGAUAACCUACCUAUAAGACUGGGAUAACUUCGGGAAACCGGAGCUAAUACCGGAUAAUAUAUUGAACCGCAUGGUUCAAUAGUGAAAGACGGUUUUGCUGUCACUUAUAGAUGGAUCCGCGCCGCAUUAGCUAGUUGGUAAGGUAACGGCUUACCAAGGCAACGAUGCGUAGCCGACCUGAGAGGGUGAUCGGCCACACUGGAACUGAGACACGGUCCAGACUCCUACGGGAGGCAGCAGUAGGGAAUCUUCCGCAAUGGGCGAAAGCCUGACGGAGCAACGCCGCGUGAGUGAUGAAGGUCUUCGGAUCGUAAAACUCUGUUAUUAGGGAAGAACAAAUGUGUAAGUAACUAUGCACGUCUUGACGGUACCUAAUCAGAAAGCCACGGCUAACUACGUG
rnacentral:rRNA from 1 species